rnacentral:rRNA from 1 species
GACGAACGCUGGCGGCGUGCUUAACACAUGCAAGUCGAACGGAAAGGCCCUGCUUUUGUGGGGUGCUCGAGUGGCGAACGGGUGAGUAACACGUGAGUAACCUGCCCUUGACUUUGGGAUAACUUCAGGAAACUGGGGCUAAUACCGGAUAGGAGCUCCUGCUGCAUGGUGGGGGUUGGAAAGUUUCGGCGGUUGGGGAUGGACUCGCGGCUUAUCAGCUUGUUGGUGGGGUAGUGGCUUACCAAGGCUUUGACGGGUAGCCGGCCUGGGAGGGUGACCGGCCACAUUGGGACUGAGGUACGGCCCAGACUCCUGCGGGAGGCAGCAGUGGGGAAUAUUGCACAAUGGGCGGAAGCCUGAUGCAGCAACGCCGCGUGCGGGAUGACGGCCUUCGGGUUGUAAACCGCUUUCGCCUGUGACGAAGCGUGAGUGACGGUAAUGGGUAAAGAAGCACCGGCUAACUACGUG